UGUUAAACUUUUUGUUUGGUAAAGUAUUAAGUCUUUUUACUGUCAUGUAAAUUUAAAAUGCUAUCUCAAAAACUAAAAAAAAAAAAAAAAAAAAGACAAGAAGGGUGGGAAACAGAGAGGAAGAGGGAGGGAGGAAGGGAAUAUCAUUAUGUUCUUAGAUUUAUAUCUACAAACUAUAUUGAAUCUGUUAAAAACUAAAUAAUAAAAGAGAAACAAGAGUCAAAAAGAAAAAUGAUUAAAAAAACAAAAAUCUAUAAUCCCACUGUCUCAAGUAAAUUAGAGGAAAACAUGCACAGUUUUAUUCCUUAAUUUAUUAGCUCACUCUGAUAUGAAAUAAUCAAAAAUAUGUUUUAGUACAUUCUUAAGCUACACAACAUACCUAAAUUCCUUUUUUAUAUGACCAAAGAGAAGUUUCACUCAAAACACUCAGGAAAUAUAAAAUAAUCAAAGCACAUUUUUUUUUGUACAGAUUAGCAUGUGUCAAAGAUUUGAUUAAUUCACGGUUUUUCUUUCAAUUCUUUCAACAUAAUUCAAUGAGGCUGACAACAGUGGGAAAGACUACCAAAAAAACAAGACGUGCUCUCACUGCUCAUCUCAGUGGCCUAUGUUAAUGGGGCAAUAUAAAUACAAUGCUUUAUUCUCUGAUCGUGGCACAGAUGGCAUCACAGCAGUCACAGUUACACAGAGAAGGAGAGGCAGAGAGAGAGAGGUCUUCCAUCUGCUGGUUCACUCUCCAACUGACUGCAACAGCCGGAGCUGCGCCGAUCCAAAGCCAGGAUCCAGGAGCUUCUUCCAGGUCUCCUACAUGGGUGCAAGGUCCCAAGGACUUGGGCCAUCUUCUACUGCUUUCCUGGGCCUUAGCAGAGAGCUGGAUUGGAAGCGGAGCAGCCAGGACUCGAACCGGCAGCAGGCGGCCCUACCCGCUAUGCCACAGUGCCAGCACCUUGUUAAACUUCUUAUUCAGUGAAGUAUUAAACCUUUUUACUGUAAUGUAAAUUUAAAAUAUGUAUCUCAAAAACUAAAAAAAAGAAUAAAAGGGCAAAGAAAGGAGGGUGGAAAGGUGACAGGGGAAAAGAGAGGGAAAGGGAGAAGGAGGGAAUAUCACUAUGUUCUUAGAAUUCUAUCUACACAGCACACUGAAUCUGUUAAAAAUAAUUAAGAAAAAAAAAUUUUUAAAAAGAAAAAGAAAAAUCAUGGCUAUAAAAUCCCAACAAACAAGUUACACUCUUAAUCUUGUUACCAUAUUCAAUAUGAUAUACUAUAUAAACAGCA